rnacentral:rRNA from 1 species
UGGGGGAUAUUGCGCAAUGGGGGCAACCCUGACGCAGCAACGCCGCGUGAAGGAUGAAGGUUUUCGGAUUGUAAACUUCUUUUCUUAAGGACGAAAUUUGACGGUACUUAAGGAAUAAGCUCCGGNUACUACGUGCCAGCAGCCG